UACGUAGGGGGCGAGCGUUGUCUGGAAUUAUUGGGCGUAAAGAGCUCGUAGGCGGUUCGGCAAGUCACGUGUGAAAUCUCCACGCUCAACGUGGAGGCGCCACGUGAGACUGCUGUGACUCGAGUCCGGUAGGGGAGCGUGGAAUUCCCGGUGUAGCGGUGAAAUGCGCAGAGAUCGGGAGGAACACCCGUAGCGAAGGCGGCGCUCUGGGCCGGUACUGACGCUGAGGAGCGAAAGCGUGGGGAGCAAACAGG
rnacentral:rRNA from 1 species